UGAAUUCCCCUCCAUUUCAGCCAGACUCCCAAGAACACACCCUCAGACACAAUCACAGGCCACCUACCCACACCUGUGAGAUGUGCUACUCAAACACUGUUGCAUCUGCGACUGUGGUUCAAAGCAGCCAGCCCUAGCCUUGCAGAGCAACUAGAAGCAAACAUCCAAGCCACCUUUAGGACAACCUGACUCUGUGUUAUAUUCUUACUGACUCUUCUCUGAUUGAGGGUUGCUGUGUGUUUCCCAGCCUGCAGGACCAGAAUCCAGAAAUAUUAUCUCCUGACGUUUCACCCACAUCUACGGCAGGCAUCUUCAGAGGUUGUGAGCAAUUUUCUUCAGGUUUUUUUUUCUACAAAGAAAAUGGGAGAAGGGCAAUAUGUGGUGACAAAUCUCAACUGUGUGAUGGCAAAACAAUGGAGGAUUCCUGAGUAAAAUGGAUGGAUUGAAAAGUAUGUGACAAAGCUUUUAUCCUGUUAUUGCAGACACUCGAGGAUUUAAUUUUUAUAUUUAGAGGAACCUCAGACAACCCUUCUGUUGCUAAAAGGAAAGAAAAGAUAUUACAAUGGCAACAAAAGAAAUGGGCGCUGUGUUUCUUCUUGCACAUAAAGCUUUCCUUUUAUUUCUUUUGGACAAACCUAAAAAUAAUUUUGGCAGAAGCAUUGUUGCCAUAUUGCUUUGACAGUCAAGUAUCCAGAAAGGGACUUAAGGCUGUCUAGCUGGAGGCAAUGUCCAAUAAACCCUAAUCUUUAUGUCUCUUUGUUUUUUCUAAAGGACAGCAUGAAUGAAUAUCUA